rnacentral:rRNA from 1 species
UACGAAGGGGGCUAGCGUUGCUCGGAAUCACUGGGCGUAAAGCGCACGUAAGCGGCUUUCUAAGUCAGGGGUGAAAUCCUGGAGCUCAACUCCAGAACUGCCUUUGAUACUGGAGAGCUUGAGUCCGGAAGAGGUGAGUGGAACUCCGAGUGUAGAGGUGAAAUUCGUAGAUAUUCGGAAGAACACCAGUGGCGAAGGCGCUCACUGGCCCGGUACUGACGCUGAGGUGCGAAGGCCAGGGGAGCAAAGCGGG